GAAAGUGCCUCCAGCGACGAUAUAAGGAAAGGAAGGCAGUGAAGAUUGACGCGGAGAAGAAGAGAGAGAGAAAGAGAGAGAGAAGCGGAGAAAGGAAAGAGAAGCGUGGAAACCACGAUAACAAGGGAACGCCGACGCUACGGACCGAUACGUCUUCCGGAUCGUCAUUCCACAUCACCGGCGCAAAAAAUCUAGAAAGAGGCAACAGACAAUAGGGAAGAAGAGCAUGCGGCGUUUCGGUGAGAACAACAUCGCGGGACCCUCGAGUAGGUUUUUGUGUGUGUGUGUGUUUAUUACUAUUUCCUUUCCUUCUCGACGGGCGCCGAUCUCUUUUUCAGCCCCGACAGCGGCACACAGCACGGCGAAACGUAGGGCUCGUUUUUUUUUUUUACGAGGCCGAACUCGUUCCCCGUCCGGCACCGACGGCAGCUGCGCGCACACGACGGUUCCGCACAGGUGGUCACGUGGAGAGGAGGAAGGCGCCGGCCCGCACCGCUCCGCACACCGCUGUUCGCUAUGCAGCUCGCUCGAUCACGCACGCGGCCCGACCAAGCUACGGUUUUCUUUUCUAUCUUUUUUGUUGUUGUUUCUUUUCGUUUCCAUCUCACCUGCUGUUCAAAUCUCGAUGUACCGCGCCCCCACAGAGCUUCCUCCAAAAAAAAUUUUACUGGAGGUGAACUCUACCCGUCGCGGUAUAGCGCAGUGGCUAUGCGUCGUUACUGUGCUCAGCUUCGAGGUCGCGAGAUUUGGCAUCCCGCUCGCGACGAGCGCAUUGCGAUGCGGGAAAAAAAAGAAAGGAUAACGCUCGUGUACUCAGUUAGAUACAGGUACACGUUAAAGAACGUUAGGUGGUAAAAAUUCACCCGCUUGUCCCCCACUGCGGCAUGCACCGCAUAAUCAUGUCCUGGUUUUAGCAUGUAAAACUGCACAAUUUAAUAAUUUUGGGGGAGGGGGGGGGGAAUCUCUGCCGCGCAGAUCGUUAAGCUACCAUGGGCGACGGGCAGUUAGCGUGGAUUUGUCGAAUCUGCGUGCUUGUGGUGCCUUACGUUCUUGUGACUAAAUUUCCACACGAAACCGUACUUUCGUCUAAACGUCUGAAUGCAAGAAUAUAUUCUUCGCGGAUUGACAAUCAUCGCGAAUCAUUGCGCUUAUAACGGUCUAUUUUUGUUUGAAUGUGAUCAAUUUCGCAAAAUCAAAAUAAGCCGCUGGAAGCCACCAGGACGAAGUUUAGGGCACAUGCUUGCACUAUGCACUAUAUGGAGCUUCGCAUACGAAGCUUCCGUAGCGAAAGACACUUGCCUCGAUUUCACUUCACCUCACCCACUUCUAAAAAAAAAAAAAAAAGGCCUACAUAAAUUGUUUAAACGGGUCGAACUCUCUCUAAUACAAAUCGAUCCCUUGGGGCUACCGUAUAGACAUUAUAUAGACCCUUUCACUGUUUACAAACAUAGGCCCCGGACGGUUUCCCGUUUUGCUCAUCCACAUAGCCCGCUAAAUUUAGCGACCAAGAAUAGCAUUGGGCUUCGAUAUUGACUAGCAAGAGUGCAUUAAAAUCUAAGCCCACAUAUUUUCAACACUUUUCCUCUGUACAUAACAACAAUUUUACAAGUGAAUGUCGCGCUAAGUUGUACGAAAAUUUUUAUGUAUUCGUGUUGAGGCGUAAUGCACGUGUCUUUUAUCCGAAAACUUAAACAUUGACUCUCCGCCAGUAAAACAAGUUAAAACGUUCUCCGUGUUCCGGUGCAGCAGUAGACUGAUAAGGCCCGUGACCGGAAGUUUCUUGGAGGCGCACUCUCGCAACAGUUAUCGCGCUAUAGUGAAACCGUCUAUGCGCCCGAGUUCUUUUCUAGCAAUUUCAGUUGGAAACUGCGGCGCCGCACCACCUGCACGCGUUCUGCUGUGUCGUGUAACACGUACACACACUCACUCCGGUGCCGAAUCCUCCUCCCCCUUUCGAAUCGCGCACCGAGGGCGCGGACCACUUGUUCCGCCCCGAGCGCAAGCCGGUUGGCACAGCGCGCGGCGCAAGCUGCUGCUUUCUUUUUUUUUUUUUUAAUGGGAUUUUACGUGCCAAAACCACUUUCUGAUUAUGAGGCACGCCGUAGUGGAGGACUCCGGAAAUUUCGACCACCUGGGGCUCUUUAACGUGCACCUAAAUCCAAGUACAUGGGUGUUUUCGCAUUUCGCCCCCAUCGAAAUGCGGCCGCCGUGGCCGGGAUUCGAUCCCGCGACCUCGCGCUCAGCAGCCAUCACCAUCGCCACUGACAAUCAGGGCGGGUCGGAAGCUGCUGUUGCCGCGCGCACUGUAAAAUAAUUUACGCUUUUAAAGGUGAGAAAAGGUGUAAAUGUGUCAUUAACCCACACCCUUAGGGUGUGAUUUAUGUAACGGACACUCUAAGGGUGCGAGUUAUAGACACAUUUACACCCUUUUUCACAUUUAGGGUGUAAAUUAUUUUACAGUGCGGCCGCGCGGCCGCAGGUUUCCCGAACCGGACGCUGCGCUGCUUGCCUGCCUGCUACGUUUUGCGGAGAUCGUUGAGCCAGGCUUCUGCCUAUACGGGCUGGCAUUGAGACCUGUAGUUCAUUUUUUUUCCUUCUUUUUUUUCUGCGGCUUGGCGUUGUAAAAACGACAACGUGACAUCAAAAACACGGAUGACCGUCAACUGUUCAAAACAGGAAAGGAAAUAAAAAAAAAAAGAAGGUAAUUGAAAGAAAAAGGAAACAAAGAAAAGAAUGUACGUCACCGUAAAGCACGGCAAAUGUAGGAACGGAAAACGAAGCGCAGACGAGGGAAUGUGGAAAACGAAGGACGAAUGAAAAAAAGAAAAUGUAGACGACGGCAUCUUAACAGCCUGUUCCGUUCAGACGUAACGAUGAUCCGGCAACCUCGGGUUGCGUGCGUUAGACGCGAAAAAGAGAGAAUUACAACACGUGCGAUGAAAGGUGCAUGCAUCGCCAAGCAAUGCAAAAAUACAGCGUGUACGCAUCAAAUAUGUCCGACUGCGCGUAUAGUCAGCAAGAUUUAUACAUUCUUUAAUAAACAUUCUGCGUCGCUUCGUGCCUCGGCUUACGCUUCUACACUGCGGCCAGUGCGGAUCUGUCAAAUGUCACUGCCAGGGCGCGCUUGAUGCUCGCCCAUACUCCAACC